UACGUAGGGUCCGAGCGUUAAUCGGAAUUACUGGGCGUAAAGCGUGCGCAGGCGGUUUUGUAAGCCAGAUGGGAAAGCCCCGGGCUCAACCUGGGAACUGCAUUUGGGACUGCAAGGCUGGAGUACGGCAGAGGGAGGUGGAAUUCCACGUGUAGCAGUGAAAUGCGUAGAGAUGUGGAGGAACACCGAUGGCGAAGGCAGCCUCCUGGGCUAGUACUGACGCUCAUGCACGAAAGCGUGGGGAGCAAACAGG
rnacentral:rRNA from 1 species